AACGAACGUUGGCGGCAUGCCUAACACAUGCAAGUCGAACGAAGGCUUCGGCCUUAGUGGCGCACGGGUGCGUAACGCGUGGGAAUCUGCCCUUAGGUUCGGAAUAACAGCUGGAAACGGCUGCUAAUACCGGAUGAUAUCGCGAGAUCAAAGAUUUAUCGCCUGAGGAUGAGCCCGCGUUGGAUUAGGUAGUUGGUGGGGUAAAGGCCUACCAAGCCGACGAUCCAUAGCUGGUCUGAGAGGAUGAUCAGCCACACUGGGACUGAGACACGGCCCAGACUCCUACGGGAGGCAGCAGUGGGGAAUAUUGGACAAUGGGCGAAAGCCUGAUCCAGCAAUGCCGCGUGAGUGAUGAAGGCCCUAGGGUUGUAAAGCUCUUUUACCCGGGAAGAUAAUGACUGUACCGGGAGAAUAAGCCCCGGCUAACUCCGUGCCAGCCGCCGCAGUAA
rnacentral:rRNA from 1 species